GGUUUCGUAUCAUCUUGGUAUCAGAGCGAAGGAUUUGGAUUGUGGUAUCAAUCAUUGGUCUUUGUUUUGAUUAUCAUAAUCUGCAAAUCCAAAAAAAAAAAAACAAGUUCCAAAAAAAGAAAGGUACUGUUCAUCCGGGUUAAAAUUAGAAAUAACAUUGUUGAUUGUUCUUCACUGUUUGAUUUAGAAAUUCGAAUUCCUCGUGCUCGUUGUUGAUUUUGGUUCUGAGAUCUCCGAUUUCUUCACUAUCUGACUUGGAAUUACUGAAUUGAGCUUGGACUUCGAAGUUUGUUUGAGAAUUGAAACCUAAAUCGAUCAACAGCAGAAAUCGAAAAUUGGGGGAUUUGCUCCGAAUCGAAAUUUUGAGCUCGAAAUAUAUUGGGUGUGUUCUAAUCUUGUUGGUACAGCUUGAUUGAGGUGAAAUCUGAAGUUAGGGCUCGAUUACAACUGAAUUCGAGCUGGUUGCUAGGGUUUUGGGUUCGAAACUUCGAACUGAUUGUCGACGAGGAAGACGAUUGUAGACGAGGAAGACGACGCUGGGUCUUCUGAUUUUGGGGAUUGAUUCUCAAGCUAUUCUGAAGCUGAAUCUGAAAUUUGGAGUCGAUUGAAGUUUGUUUGAACGGUUUGAGUACGAAAAUUAAGGAUAUUGACUUGCCGAAGAAGACGACUUGUGCUUGCUUGGAUUUCGUGUCUGCUUGCUGAGAUUAAUUUCUGGGGGUUUGAUUCUCUGCUUGAAAGGAGCUCAUUAUUCAAAAUUGAUUCCACUUGGUUGAGCUUUGGGAGAAAAAUCACUGCUGAGGCUCGAGGAUCCUAAGAACACCAGUUGCAAACUUGAAGAACUUCGCGGACUGAUUCGACUCGAUUCGAGCAGCUGGUAAAUUGAUGAAGAACACUUGUAGAGCUAGUGAUUGCAAUUCAUUAGUCGCAACGAUUCAGGUUUGAGUUCUUCUUGCUGUGCUCUUCAAGUUCUGGGAAUUGAAUAUAGCUUCUAAUUGUUAUUAUAGUCCUAAUCCAUCGAGUGCAUGGUGUAAGCUACUGUUGGGUUUGGUUAUCUUCUUGUUGAAUUCGUAAAGUGGACUCAAGAUUGUUAUUGGUUCAAAUUACUGUUUUGUUCUUUUGGAAAUUCAGCUGGGAUUGUUGACUGAUUUUAUAAGUUUCACUUGAUGAAUAAUGUUGUUGUGAACCGAAAUUUCGAACUGAGUAAUGAACAAUAGCUAUUAUUGGGAGUGAAAUCUUCAGUUGCUGAAGUUCUUGCCAGUUUUUCAGCUUGUUUAGCUCCAGUUCUUGCCAGUUUGAAAAGCAUUAUUUACGACUCAGCUGUGUUAGCUAAAUACUGCAAAGUUUGAGUUGAGUGUUGGUUUGAAACGAUCUGCUGUAAAUUUAUUUGAGAAUUAUUGAACUGGUUUUGUGAGUCGACUUGUUUUAAUUCAUUGCUGCCCUAUGAACUCUUUAGAAAUAACUUUGGUUGAAUUCUGAAAUUCUGGAAUUAAAAACAGCUUCUGGUUUCUGAACUUCUGAGAGUGGAGUUGAGACUGUUUGGUUCAGUUCUAUUUUGAAAGGCUUUAAGUUGAGUUAACUGAGUUUGGGUGAUUGUUACUGAAACACUCUGUUAAUAGCUGUUGCAUUUUGAAGAAAGGCAGAGAAUUGCUUCAGGUUUGGGACAACAUAUGUGCUGAUAAAGUCUGCUCAGCUUAGGCAUUCUGUCCAGAACUUGCACCAGUUAUUUGCUCCAGUUAUCUGCUGAAAUUGAGCAGUAUUUGACAGCAUUCCUGCACCAUUUUGAAUCUGCAAUUUCUACUAAGUUUGAGCAGAGUUCUACAUUGUUUAACAGCAAAAUUACAGUUGAGAAAUGUUUCUGCCAGCUACAUUGUGAACCAGUUCUGCUGCUGAAGUUUGAGGAGGAUUUUUUUAAGUUGUGAGUCUCUUUUGGACUGAAAUUCAUCUAGAUUUUUUUCUGCAGUUUUUUGUUGUGGACUGUUUUCAACAGCAUAACUUCUGCAUUGCAAAUAUGACCAAAAUUUGAAAAAAGUGUCUAGUUUUGUAGUUUCUUUUCUUUUCUUUCCUCCAGUUUGUGGUAAACCAAAUUCUCAACUAGACUAACUUGAUAUUAGUUCAUAUUGAGUUUAUUUCUAGUUUCUUUGUGUACUUUGUUUAUUUCGUGCCAAUUUUUUGUGCUUUUCUCUUUUGAUUUCGUUGUGCAUUGUUUGGCUCAAGUCCGUUAGUUUUUAAUUGUGCUUUCUUUGGUGUCACAUAUAUUCCAUUCCGAACCGAUACUUGAUUACCUACUUGGAUUGAUUUGAGUACGUUGGUUGUGAAGAGAACUUUUAGAUACCCUUGUGUGGAAAAAGGCUUGAGUGGUGAGUUCAAUUGAGCGAGGUCACAAAAGCCUUUGACCUUUGAUUGUAAACACGAGUGUUGAGUGACAUAUAUAUUGAGUAUUACACUAAGGGAGUCAACAGUGAGGUCUUAUUUUUGAAUCUUGCUUUAAGUUUUCUUUUGUAGGUACAAGGAGUCAUAAGGGAGGUAUGGAUGGUUAUGGCACUUCUUCUUAUGAAACUAAUUGUGCUCCUCCAAGUGUUGAAAUCUUUUAUGAUGAAAGUGGGAGAAAGAUAAAUUUGAGGCAUUAUGUAGCGAAUGUAGAAGGCUAUGAAGGUUGUUUGGUUGCUAUAAGUACUCACUAUACGACCAAUUUUAUUGCUUCUUUUUGUUGAAUGGUUGGGAUUGAGUUGUAUUCCAAGGGAAUCGCUUUAUAAAUUUCGGGGUGAGUUGGUUGAUAGAGGUGUGAUGGUUACUGUAACCAAAGGAGACUUUAAAGAAGUGGUUUGGUGUGAUGUAUACCCUAUGAAGUAUUGCCAUGUACGAUUGGGAAAGCCUUGGUUUCUUGAUCAUAAUCUUCCUAUUGAUGUAGAAUGGAAUAGGUAUGUGGUUGAUAUAAAUGGAAGGGGGCAUUCCUUCAUUCCUAAACACUUUGAGGAUAAGUUGUUGGCAAGGCUAGAUAUCGGAAGGAGUUUGGAGUGCAAAGCAAUUCGCAAGUCCUUCUCCUAGUCCAAGUGGAGAUUAUGAUGCUUAUACUAUGUCAAGCCAAGUUGUAUCUUUUGAUGCUUGUUACAAUGCACCUUACACUUAUCCACCAUCCCACUACCAACACCAACUACAACCCCCAACCACAUUUCAACCACCACAAGUACAUCAACUACAACCUUAUCAAACUUCACCACAACCUAGACCACCACUAAAUUUAGCUUCACAACAUAUGCAAGCACCACCAAAGAGGGACAAUCUCCCUCCUCCACUACCCGUACCACCUCACGAGCCUCCAAUGAUUAACAACCCACUUUUUCUACAUGAUCAUGAGACCACAUUGACUGAGUUGGACGACAUCCAACAAGUUUCUAAUGGAGAAUAUAGGAGGAAAGAAGAUAUGUUGGUGAGAAAGGCUUUGUCUAGUUCUAUGGAGGAAGAAGUGGAAAAUACACAAAGGCAUAAUAUCUUUUACUGUAGAUGUUUGAUUUUGGAUAGGAUGUGCACAUUGGUAAUUGAUGGAGCAAGUUGUGACAAUUUGGUGAGUGCUACCUUGGUGAAAGAGUUAAAGUUGGAAACUUUCAAUCAUCCUACACCUUGUAAGUUGCAAUGGUUGAAUGCUUGUGGCGAACUUAAAGUGAACAAAGUAGUGAAGAUUCCUUUCAUGAUUGGGGAUUACAAGGAUGAAGUAAUUUGUGGGGUUGUUCCAUUACAUGCUUGCCAUAUCAUCCUUGGGCGACCUUGGUUGUGUGAUAGAGAUGUUUUGCAUCAAGGAAGGAAGAAUCACUAUUCUCUUAAGUGGAAAGGCAAGUUGGUGACACUUGAACCCUUGGAACCAAGUCAGUCUUGAAAGCGCAAAUGAGUUUGAGAACAUCCUUGAAAAAUAUUAAGAGAAAAAGUAAGGAUGGGAGACAAAAGAAAGAGAGGAGUGAGGGAGAGAAAAGUGACAACUCUAGGGUGGAAAAAGGAGAGGAAGAGCUUGACAAGAAAAUGAGAGAAAAGAAAGAGGAAAAACAAAAAGAGAGUGAGGAUUUUUCUUAUUCUAAUGCUACUAAUCUUUCUUCUUUCUCUAGUUGUUUUGUAUCUUGUGUAGGGACUUUUGGAGAGGAGCCAUCAAGUGACAUUCAACCAACUUUAAAGAGCUUGAAAGAAGAUCAAUAUAUCUUUUCAAGAGAACUUAUGGAAUUCAUUGAGCAAGUUCAAGGUAAAGAGAAUACUUUAGAAGUGCUUCAAGGUAAAAUAGCUUAUCCUUCUUCUCUCGAUACUUUAGUUGAUUGUGGUGACACUUUGAGUUUGAAAAAUAGCUAUGCUAUUGAUGAGUUUGAUAUUUCUUUAUCUUGUGAUGAGAAAAAAUAAUUGUGGCUUGCAACUAGCUAAGAGUUUUUCUGGAUUAUUGGAUGAUUCUAGUUCUUUGUUUAAUGACUCUUUAGCUAGUGAUGAUGUUGAGUCUUAUGAUAGUCCACCUUUAUGGGAUGAUGCAUGUGAUGAUUCUUUUGACUCCACUUUAACCUUGUUGGUAGAAAGUUUUGAACUUUAUGAAGAAACGAGUCAAGAAGAAUGUGUUGAUGAAUUUUUUGAUUCUAUUUCCAUUCCUUUGGAAGAAAGAUUCAAUUUUUAUGAUGAAAUGGGCAAAUUUGAAUGUGGUGAUUUGGUUGAUACUAAAAAGGAAAGUAAAGUUUUUUAUGCUAGCAUUAGUAUUAAUUGCUUUACUUAUUUUGUUCCUACUUUUGAAAGAACAUUCUCGUUAGAUUUUGCUAAUGCUUCUAUGAGUAAAGGUAAGAAUAUUACUUUUGGUGGUUUGAUUGAUCAUUGUAAGCAAAAACAACCUAACUUUAUUGAUUAUUUUGUGAAGAGGAUAAGCUGCUAAGGGUAAGGAAGUCUUGAAAUAACACUUUGGCAUAUUAUUUGUCAAGAGCAUUUUCUUUUGCUGGAAAACAAGAAACCAAUGUACAUUUGGCUUAUGCUUAUCUUGUGCUUAUCUAAAGCCAUUGAGGUAAAGAUGCAUAACUUUUUUGAUAUUCUUUGUAUGAUUAUUCAUGGUGAACUUGGCCGAUCUCUUAAGUUGCCAUGUGAAAUUGUUGUUGGAAAGUAUAUGGAUACUCGGGGAUUAAAGUUUGUUUUUGACCCCGGAGUUGUUUCUUAUUGUAGAAAUCCUGGUUAUCAGCAAAUCAGAAAAUAAGAAAAACGAAAAUUUUCCAAAAAAAUAGAAAGUUUACUGUUCAUCCGUGUUUGAAUUAGGAAUUGUAUCUCAUUGUUCUUCCUUUGUCUGUUCCAAAGAGAAACUCGAAAUUCCUUGUUCUCUUGCUCGAUUUUGAUUCUGAAAUUUCUGAAUCCCUUCAUUAUCUGAGCAUGUAUUACUGGUUUGAGUUUGGGUAAGCUGGGAUUGAGCUUCUGAACCCUAAGACGUCGAACAUCAGAAGCGAUUUGGGAAUUUUUUAUUCCGGUUCCGUGAUUUGAGUUUGAAUUCGAUUGGGAGUUUGGGAACCUAGUCGACAUCAUUUUAAAGCUGAAUCGGAAGGAUUAGCUUGAUUUGAACUGAUUUGCUAGUUUUUGGUUCGAAAUUUUGAGCUGAUUGUGCGAAGAAGAAGACGACCUAGGGUUCGUUGAUUUCGUGAGUGUUUGUUCAAAUUAGUCACUGGGAUCCCUACACCUGUUGGGAAGUUGCAUUCGUAGUUCUAGAUUGAUUGGAACUGAUUUGAUGCGAUUUUGGUCAGAAAACUUUCAAACGGAAUCUGCGAAGAACACGACAGGCUGGGUUACUCUGAUUUCGUGAUUGUCUCUAGAAAUUGGUUACUGGGGUUUGAUUCUUAUGCUGUUUGGAAGUCGAAUUCAAGGUGUGAGUCCGUUUGAUGAAGAUUUGAGUUAGCUGGGUCGAAAUUUGAAGAAUACCGAAGAGCUGAUGUACAUUCUUCAACUGCUGUGGUCUUCACCUUUUGGGUUUGAGUUUUGGGGAAGAUUUGAUGACAUCGAGUUGACAUUGUCGCUGAAGAACACCUUGCUGUUGAGUUCUCAAAAUUUUGAGCUGGUUCUGUAAAGAAGGACGGUUUAUUACUUCGAGUUUCUUGGGUUGAAACUAAUUGAUUUCUGACAUCGAAGACACAAACACAAGCAGCUCAGAAUCAUCGUAACAAAUCAGGUUUGAUUCUUUGAGUUUCAACUGAACUUCUACUAGAUCGUCCUGAGUAAUUGAUUUGAAUGAACUCGACUCGUGUUGCUUAGCUUAAUUUCUGAGUGUUGAGUUGAAAUCCGUCGUAGCUACUACAAAUUUGAUGCUCCAUUUGUGUUCAAUUUGUUGCUGCCAAUUGUGAUCUCAAUCUUUGAUUGAGUUUCUGAGUUGUUAACUGAAACUUCAUCUAUGUUUUUCUGGAUUAGUAACUGUGAUUUGAUAGAGCUCUGUGCGAUCUUGAGUUUGAUUUUCUGAGAUUGAGAACUAAGUUCUUCUUGAACUUUGAGGAUUGAAGAUACAGGAGAGCUCUAGGACUACAUUUUCUAAUAACUGAAACUCAAUUCUGUUUACUUGUUUCUGCUGUUGAAAUUUGUGAUAGUUGAAGUUCUGCUGUGAUUUAUCAUUGAUUACUGGGGAUUUUGAGUUGAAUUUAGAGUUAGUAGCUGAUCAGUAAAGAUAUUAGAAGGCUCCAAGUUUCUUGUUUCUAAGUUUUGAGCUUACAAAUUCCCUUGGGGAGCUGUUGCAUUCUGAAACUAUGAGCUGAAAAAUCAAACUGGUUGAUCUUAAUCAGAGCUGAAUUUAGAGCUGUGGAGAUUGUUUGGAUUCUGCAAUUUUGAGAUCACUGAACCAGUUAAACAUAGAUUCACAUAGCCUUGCUUCCGACCAGUUUUAGGCUGCAUAUUUUGCGAGUUUCUCCCAGUUUUUGAACCCAAGUUUGAGCUGCUGUUUUGAGAUUGUAAGUCCAGUUAUAGAAUUCUGCACUUUGGAGCUAUUUUGAGCAGAAAAUCAGGUGCUUCACCACAAGAUUGCAGAAGUCCAGAAGUGUUUGUCCAGUUGUGUCAGCUAGUAAAUCUGCCCUGUUUCUGCACUGGUUGAGCAAUAGAUCUGCACAAUUUUGAGUGUAAUUUCUGCACAUUUGAGCUUGUUCCUGCACACUUGCACAAUUGCUUGCUGCAGUGUUUCUGUUUAUGGUUGGAGAGUUCUGGACAACUUUGAGACUAUAUUGCUGCACAGUUGGGAAAAAAAAAAAAAGCCAAACUUCUGCACUUUGUCUGCACUUUAGAGCUGCUGAAACUGCAAAAUAGGACUGCUGCGCCUUCUUGUUGAGCUGAUUUGGGGACUUCACUUAGCCAAAUUGUUGAAGCAGUUGGCUGAGAAACAUCAGGGAGUUGAGACUAAUCUGGAAGGGAUUCUGCAAAGUUCAAAGGGUUCAGAAGUUCAGAAAUAUUUCUGUCCAGUUGUUAAUUUUUCUUCUGGUUUGUAAACUCUCAACUAGAUUAACUUGAUAUUAGUUCAAAUGAGUUUAAUUCUAGUUUCUUGUGUGCUUUGUUUAUUUCGUGCCAAUUGUUCCGUGCUUUUGUCUUUUAAUUUCGUUGUGAAUUGCUUGGUUCAAGUCCGUUUGCUUUUAAUUGUCCGUCCUUGUGAAUACACAACUUCCACUCCACCCCGAAGACGGUUGGAACUUGUUGUGAAACCUUGGAACUUAAGUUUGCUAGCAAUUUUGACAUACACUACUUGAGCGGAAAAAGGCAGGAGCGAAUAGGACUUUGAGCACGCAAGAACCAAUUGGUGCAAAGUGUGAUACACGAGGGUUGAGCGACAUCAAGUGAGUUGGGGAGGACUUUUACUACUAACUUGUUUGCUCGUUUUGUAGGUAUCAUGGAGUACGGACAAACUUCUAGUCCUACUUGUGAUCUAAGGAGUGAGACUCCGAUGCAUGAAGUUGUUUCUAUGCUUUAUGACAUAGGCGAGAAGGUCACCAACUUAAAUGAGAAGGUUACCAAUAUUACCAUAUGGCAACACCAAACAGAUGCAAGGUUGAAUUCCAUGAUAGAGGAAUCUCACUUGAGGCAACAGAGAAAGGAGCAUAGUAUGACGCUUACUAAUUCCUCUACUACACCCUCUCCUUCACAAGUGCGACAAAUGCUUCAAAGGGAAAAUUUACAACACAACCAACCCAACCAAAUACCACAAAACUUACCAAAGCGACCACAUUCACUAAAGGGACCUUAUUUUCCUCCACCAAACUACCGACCACCUACCCACUACCAACACAAACCACCAUUUAGACCUCAAGCACACAUACCAAUGAUACCACCACCCCAAAUGACCCAACCUAGACCACCAAUGAAUAUACCUCCCCAACAUAUGCCUUAAGUACCACCAUGGAGGGACAAUCUUCCUCCCCCACCACUCAUGCCACCUCAAGAACCUCGAAUGAUGAACCACCCGCUUUUUCAACAUGACCAAGAGGACUCCUUGAAUGAGUUGGACAACUUCCAACAAGUUUUCAAUGUCGAAUAUUAGGGGGAUGAAGUGAACCAAAGGGGAAGAGGCCAAAUAAGUUUGAGAACAUCCUUGAAAAAUGCAAAGAGAAAACGUGAGGAUGAGAGACAAAAAAAGAGAGAAGUGAGGGAGAAAAAAGCGACACCUCUAGAGUGGAAAAAGGAGAGGAAGUGUGGAGUGAAGUGAGUGAGUUGUCACAAGAAAAGAGUGAAGAUCUUGAAAAGAAAAUGAGAGAAAAGAACGAGGGAAAACAAAAAGAGAGCGAGGAUUUUCCUUAUUCUAAUGCUACUAACCUUUCUUCUUUCUCUAGUUGUUUUGUAUCUUGUGAAGGAAUUUUUGGAGAUGAGCCAUCAAGUGAAGUUCAAUCUACUUUGAUGAACUUGGAAGAAGAUCAAACUUCCUUUUCAAGAGAACUUUUGAAAUUUAAUGAACAAGUUCAACGUAAAGAGAAUUUCACUUUAGAAGAGUUUCAAGGUUCAACACGAGAAAGUUGCUAAGGGUAAGAAAGGUCUUAAACUACCACUUUGGCAUACUUUUUGUCAAGAGCUUUUCCUUUUGUCCAAAAGCAAGAAUGGUAUGUAAGUUUGGCUUAUGCUUAUCUUGUGUUUAUCUAAGGUCAUUGAGGUAAAGACUCUUAACUAUGAGUAUUGUGAUAUUCUUUAUCUGUUGAGUCAUAAUGAGAUUGGCAUAUCUCUUAAGUUGUUAGGUUAAGUUGUUGGAAAGUGUGUAGAUAUUUGGGGAUUAAAAAUUGUGUUUGACCCUGCGGUUGUUUCUUAUCAUGGUGAAGUGUCUUUCUUUGGAUUGGAGAGUAUGAUUUUUAUUGUUUCUUAUGACACUUGGUUAUACCAUAAAAGUGUGCACUUUGUUGAGAAUUUUACAAGAUUGUGAUUUUGUUGGAAGCAUGAAACGUUAUCAUCUCUUGAUUCUUCUCAUGAGUAUUACUUUCCUUAUAGUCAAGUUUGUGUUAUUUGUGUUGAAGAUGUGUUCUUUAUAGCUUAUGACACUUGGCUAUAUCAUAAGAAUGCUACUUUUGAGUGCAAGGUUGAGAACUUUGAUCUUUUAGCUUGGACAUACAAUGUUUUGAUUGUGAUUAGCUUGGUACUUAUGUUUGCCCCUUUCUUGGUUUUUCAAGGUCCAAAUUCGAGGACGAAUUUCUUUCGGGGGGGGGGGGGGGUAUGGGGGGGGAUGAUACAUGCCGGAUGAGCAUGCCUAACAAUUUCCAAAUCAACAUCAUAGCAUUGAAGUGCUUUAAAGGAGUCAAGAUCAAGAAGGCUAUACUUGUAAUAAUUGACCAAGCUCCUUAGAAUUAGCUUAGGGGUAUUUGGAUUAUUUGUAGCCAAAUACCCACUCUAGUAUAAAUAGCCCUUUAGGCUUUUAUUUUAGGUAGACUUGAUGAAUGACAAACUUGAAGACAUGUAAGUCUCACUCUUUAUCCUUAUCUUUUAACUAAUGCAUUUAUGUUUAUGCCUUUAA